rnacentral:rRNA from 1 species
ACUCCUACGGGAGGCAGCAGUGGGGAAUAUUGGACAAUGGGCGAAAGCCUGAUCCAGCAAUGCCAUGUGUGUGAAGAAGGCUCUAGGGUUGUAAAGCACUUUAGUUGGGGAGGAAAGCUUAUGAGUUAAUAGCUUGUAGGAAGGACGUUACCCAAAGAAUAAGGACCGGCUAACUCCGUGCCAGCAGCCGCGGUAAUACGGGGGUCCGAGCGUUAAUCGGAAUUACUGGGCGUAAAGGGUCUGUAGGUGGUUUGUUAAGUCAGAUGUGAAAGCCCAGGGCUCAACCUUGGAACUGCAUUUGAUACUGGCAAACUAGAGUAUGGUAGAGGAAUGGGGAAUUUCUGGUGUAGCGGUGAAAUGCGUAGAGAUCAGAAGGAACACCAAUGGCGAAGGCAACAUUCUGGACCGAUACUGACACUGAGGGACGAAAGCGUGGGAUCAAACAGGAUUAGAUACCCUGGUAGGACAGUG